GCCACUUUAGCUCAGAAGGUAGAGCACCGCCGUGGUAAGGAGGAGGUCCUCAGUUCAAAUCUGGGAAGUGGCU
rnacentral:tRNA from 3 species